UUGCACGCUGGCGGCAGGCCUAACCCAUGCAAGUCGAACGGUAACAGGAAGCAGCUUGCUGCUUUGCUGACGAGUGGCGGACGGGUGAGUAAUGUCUGGGAAACUGCCCGAUGGAGGGGGAUAACUACUGGAAACGGUAGCUAAUACCGCAUAACGUCGCAAGACCAAAGAGGGGGACCUUAGGGCCUCUUGCCAUCGGAUGUGCCCAGAUGGGAUUAGCUAGUAGGUGGGGUAACGGCUCACCUAGGCGACGAUCCCUAGCUGGUCUGAGAGGAUGACCAGCCACACUGGAACUGAGACACGGUCCAGACUCCUACGGGAGGCAGCAGUGGGGAAUAUUGCACAAUGGGCGCAAGCCUGAUGCAGCCAUGCCGCGUGUAUGAAGAAGGCCUUCGGGUUGUAAAGUACUUUCAGCGGGGAGGAAGGGAGUAAAGUUAAUACCUUUGCUCAUUGACGUUACCCGCAGAAGAAGCACCGGCUAACUCCGUG
rnacentral:rRNA from 1 species